AAUCAACACGCUGAUGAGAAUCUUUUCUUUCAGGGUACGUAUAACGUUGAGACAUGGGAAGGUAGUUUCCACGGUGAUUCCCAAUCGCGGAUGCAAGACGUCGCGACGACAAGGACAACGAUAACCACGACGACAUCCUGUCCCUUGAAUUGAAAGGACGGAGUAUUCGGUGAAGGUCUUAUUAUUAAUUGUUCGAGUUCCUGCUCAAACACUGGAGAUUAAAUCCGGGAGGAACUAAUCCGGCACGUAGUGCCUCUUUAUUCCGUCUGUCCCACGUAGAGAGAAGCCUCUCACAAACACACACACACACACAACUCGCCUCUAUAGAUGUUUGUUACGUCCAAGGCUUCACCGCGAGAAUGUUAAUCGAGGCCAAUGAAGGAUAAGCAUAAUGAGAAUAGGAUCGUUAAUCGAAAUCAAGCGUCGAAGAUAACCUCAAAUUUACCAAAACGAUAACAACCAACGUACCAGCGUUGCCAACGUAAAGAAGCGAAAAAGCGUUUUGAGGUUCGUAGGGAAUAAAAAUCCCGCCCUGGAUCUAAAAUCAAGAUUGGAGCGGAUCGCAGCCUUGGAUGCUGUCCACUUAGAUAAGGAUAGCCCCUGGAGAAGGAAGGAAUCGAAACAAGGGGGUUCACCGACAGCAGCAGGCCAGUUAUUCGCGCGCCAGAAGGUAGCUCUCGAAAAUUUACUUUGAGAUUGGAAAGAGGGAGAAGAUUGAAACUGGUUGAAACGAGACGGAGGAAUCGGCGAAGAACAGGAAAGAGGAGAAAGGUUGGAUAUCGGAGGAGAGAUGAGAGUUGGCCGAUGGAAUCGGCGGCUUCGAGAGCCAGAUGCAGGAUCCGCAGACGGAACGGAAGGAAGCAUUUUUUUAUUAUGUUUGUUGCCGCCCUGAAGCCAGUGUAGAAGAAGAGAUAUCACGUUUUUCGAACGUGAGAAGGUCGUUUCUCGUGGGCGCAAAAAUUGUUGAUCAAAAAUUGAAAAUCGUUAAAUGUGUCUCCUGUAAAGAAUUUUCCUAAAAGGAUAUGAAAAAAGUUUUUCUUCCAAUGAAAU